UACGAAGGGGGCUAGCGUGGCUCGGAAUUACUGGGCGUAAAGGGCGCGUAGGCGGACAGUUUAGUCAGAGGUGAAAGCCCAGGGCUCAACCUUGGAAUUGCCUUUGAUACUGGCUGUCUUGAGUUCGGGAGAGGUGAGUGGAAUGCCGAGUGUAGAGGUGAAAUUCGUAGAUAUUCGGCGGAACACCAGUGGCGAAGGCGACUCACUGGCCCGAUACUGACGCUGAGGUGCGAAAGCGUGGGGAGCAAACAGG
rnacentral:rRNA from 1 species